CACCAGUUCACCUGCUCGCCAGCAGAGCGCAGCCGAGGCCCGCUCACACAUCGCGGAUCCAAACCACCAAAAAACACUACAAAAAGGAGCCACACAGAGUAAAAAAAACCACACCAGUGGUCUUUAAUUACGCCGCAACAGUGAGUUCUUCAUGGAGAAAAGGGAAAUGACGCCGCGCAGAAGGAAUACGUCUUCUCUUGGGAAGGUGGAGGGUUUAUCAGCUGCAGAUGACGGAGGUUCAGGGAUGAAGGUGUUUCUUGGUGGGAAACAGUAAUUCUGACGGAAAACAUCCCAGACUCUCUUCAGGGAAGGGAACUGAGAAAGCGUCCUCCCAGUUCGGACUGCAGGCCCCUUCCACAUCAGGACAAGAGGACAUCCAUUGUCCAAUAAUCGCCUUUGAUUGUUGGGCGUGUUGCUAACAGACAGAACGCAUUUAAGUCGGCGGGAGAAAACAAUUCUUCACACAUCGACCUCGUUCAGGGAACAAAGGCCGCGUGCAGCAAGUGGACGUCGUCAUGGUGACGUAAAUACCCCCCCAAUGAAGUCCACAAACACACAAACGUCUCCUAAUCGACCCGCGACCCAUUCAAAACAAGGCGCCCAGCCCACAGCGUCUCCGACGUCAACGUCCCACCAGGAAUGGACACAAGGGACAGAAGGGUCGCUUCAAUUUGUUCUUAUUUUUGUGUUCAUUCGUGAAGAUUAUCUUCCUGAACCGUUGAUGUGAUGUUCAUUUAAAUUUCAGUUUUUUUUUGGAGUCAAAUAGACAAUAAAAGUAGUUCUUUUGUGAUGUAAAAAGCAGA